rnacentral:rRNA from 1 species
AGUCAGGAAGUUGGCUUAGAAGCAGCCAUCCUUCAAAGAAAGCGUAAUAGCUCACUGAUCGAGUCUUUCUGCGCGGAAGAUGUAACGGGGCUAAGUCAAUAACCGAAGCCGCGGAUUCACACUUGUGUGUGAGUGGUAGGGGAGCGUUCUGUAAGCCUGCGAAGGUGACUCGUAAGGGUUGCUGGAGGUAUCAGAAGUGCGAAUGCUGACAUGAGUAACGUUAAAGCGGGUGAAAAGCCCGCUCGCCGUAAGCCCAAGGUUUCCUGCUCUACGUUCAUCGGAGCAGGGUGAGUCGGCCCCUAAGGUGAGGCUGAGAAGCGUAACUGAUGGGAACAAGGUUAAUAUUCCUUGACCACCGCUGAAUGCGAAGGGGGGACGGAGUAUUGAAGAUCAUCCGGGUGUUGGAUAUCCCGGUUUGCGAGCGUAGGAGGCUGACAGGCAAAUCCGUCAGCGAAUCUCCGAGGCAAAGCAUCGAGCUCUCUUUUGAGCGAAGUGAUUGGAUGUGCUUCCAGGAAAAGCCUCUAAGCUCCAGUUCAGCGGGACCGUACCGCAAACCGACACUGGUGGGCGAGCUGAAUAUGCUCAGGCGCUUGAGAGAACUCAGGAGAAGGAACUCGGCAAAUUGACACCGUAACUUCGGGAUAAGGUGUGCCUUUGUAGCGUGGAGGGAGAAACACCCCGAGCGCGAAGAGGUCUCAGAUAAUCGGUGGCUGCGACUGUUUAUUAAAAACACAGCACUCUGCAAAGACGAAAGUCGACGUAUAGGGUGUGAUGCCUGCCCGGUGCUGGAAGAUUAAUUGAUGGGGUGCAAGCUCCUGAUCGAAGUCCCAGUAAACGGCGGCCGUAACUAUAACGGUCCUAAGGUAGCGAAAUUCCUUGUCGGGCAAGUUCCGACCUGCACGAAUGGCAUAACGAUGGCCACACUGUCUCCUCCUGAGACUCAGUGAAGUUGAAGUGUUUGUGAUGAUGCAAUCUCCCCGCGGCUAGACGGAAAGACCCCAUGAACCUUUACUGUAGCUUUGCAUUGGACUUUGAACCGAUCUGUGUAGGAUAGGCGGGAGCCUGUGAAACCACAACGCCAGUUGUGGCGGAGGCGUCCUUGAAAUACCGCCCUGAUUUGUUUGAGGUUCUAACCUGGGACAGUCAUCCUGUCCGGGGACCGUGCAUGGUAGGCAGUUUGACUGGGGCGGUCUCCUCCUAAAGGGUAACGGAGGAGUGCGAAGGUACGCUAGGUACGGUCGGAAAUCGUGCUGAUAGUGCAAUGGCAAAAGCGUGCUUGACUGCGAGACCCACAAGUCGAGCAGAUACGAAAGUAGGUCAUAGUGAUCCGGUGGCUCUGUAUGGAAGGGCCAUCGCUCAACGGAUAAAAGGUACUCUGGGGAUAACAGGCUGAUACCGCCCAAGAGUUCAUAUCGACGGCGGUGUUUGGCACCUCGAUGUCGGCUCAUCUCAUCCUGGGGCUGUAGCCGGUCCCAAGGGUAUGGCUGUUCGCCAUUUAAAGAGGUACGUGAGCUGGGUUUAAAACGUCGUGAGACAGUUUUGUCCCUAUCUGCCGUGGGCGCUGGAAGAUUGACGGGGGCUGCUCCUAGUACGAGAGGACCGGAGUGGACUCACCUCUGGUGUACCGGUUGUCACGCCAGUGGCAUCGCCGGGUAGCUAUGUGGGGAAGAGAUAACCGCUGAAAGCAUCUAAGCGGGAAACUUGCCUGAAGAUAAGUCUUCCUGGAGGCUAGACCUCCCUAAAGAGUCGUUCGAGACCAGGACGUUGAUAGGAUGGGUGUGUAAGUGCUGUGAGGCACUCAGCUAACCAUUACUAAUUGCUCGUGAAGCUUGAUCC